rnacentral:rRNA from 1 species
AUUGAACGCUGGCGGCAUGCCUUACACAUGCAAGUCGAACGGCAGCACGGGAGCAAUCCUGGUGGCGAGUGGCGAACGGGUGAGUAAUAUAUCGGAACGUGUCCAGUUGUGGGGGAUAGCCCGGCGAAAGCCGGAUUAAUACCGCAUACGACCUACGGGUGAAAGCGGGGAUCGCAAGACCUCGCGCUAUUGGAGUGGCCGAUGUCAGAUUAGCUUGUUGGUGGGGAAAAGCCUACCAAGGCGACGAUCUGUAGCUGGUCUGAGAGGACGACCAGCCACACUGGGACUGAGACACGGCCCAGACUCCUACGGGAGGCAGCAGUGGGGAAGUUUUGGACAAUGGGCGCAAGCCUGAUCCAGCCAUGCCGCGUGCGGGAAGAAGGCCUGG